GUUUGUCUCUUGUCUUGAAGCUUUUGCUAAGCCUUUCUAUAAAUGAAGUGCAGCUUUACACUUGUGACUGAAGGGGGGCAGAACAGAGUACCUCUGUCAUUGUAGAUUCUUGCAGUUUUCUUAUAUUUUAGUAUCUGUCUCCUGUGGUUUCCUAAGACCUCCUGAAGAAAAAGUAUUAUUCAUAACAAUAAAGCCCCCCCCCUUUUUUUUAAUUUUUUUUUUUUUUUUUUUUUUUCCUCCAGCAUGUCAUCUCUUUUACAGAGAAUGCCAUAUCUUUGAUGUGUUGGGAAGCACUGCCUAUUGAACAGAGCAGUCAGAUGAAUACUUUCAGUAGAAUUAUGGAAAUACAAUAAAUCAGAGGAUUUAUUAAAGUCGUCUCCACAUGCAUCAAGUCCAUGCUCACGGCAUCCUGAAGGUAUCAUUCUUGUACCCGAUUCAACAGAGCAUUUCAUCUUACUGGAUUUCUUGCAAAUCUAUUACUAUUUCUGAAUGCAAUAGAGAAUCUCUGAAUGUGUUCCCUGCUGUGAAACUGAAGAUCAACCAAUGCCUUAUGAAUCUAUAAUCAAAGAAAUAAUAUUUGAAAAUUGCAAUAACAUUCUGAGUUGACUUAUUAGAAAAUUAGAAAUGCACAUUUAAUUCCUAGUGAGGUCAAAUACACAAUCAAUCACAAUAUUUAUAUUUUGUGCUGAUUUGAUUGAACAUACUCAUUUCAUCUUGCGUAUUUUUGCACUGGAUUUUAAAAAUUUAAAUAUAUUGAUGAUUAACUUGAACACUGUCACCGAUGAUGCUUAAAACUUAUGUUCUGGGAUCUAAACCAAGGUUUUGGCUGUACUAUUUAAUAAAUUUAGCCUUCUUUGUAAAGCUGAACUUUAA
rnacentral:lncRNA from 1 species